AUGUACAGAUUCACAGGAGUGAGAGUUUAUUCAUUAGUGAUGAUCUGCCUGAUUAAAGGUCACAUGGGUGAUGCUGCUGACCCUGUGCCUGCCAUUACAGGAGGAAGUGUCAUCAUCAACUGUGUGUAUAAUCGUGAAAAUGCGAAAACCAGUGCAAAAAGCUUUUGCAAAAAGUUGGGCAGUAAUUGUACAACCAUGACAGAAGUAAAGAAUGAUUUAUGGAUCCCAGAGGAGAGAUUCUCUAUGACUGAUAAUACAACUCUGGGUCUGAUUAGUGUGCUCAUUAGAAACCUGACUGUAAAUGACAGUGGGACAUACAGAUGUAAAGAUGGCAGCGAAUGGUUUCAGGAGGUCAAACUCAACGUGGAACAAGAGUGGUGUUGUGGGACAUCAGAGGAACACACUGCGUAAAUAUUAGGAACUGCUGUCAUCCACUGUAAAUAUCCUGAGAAAUAUAAAGAUCAUCUCAAGCAAUUAUAUAAAGUGCAGAAUGGAUCAUUAGUGUCUAUUCAUAUAUUUGGAAGUUCGACCACCAAUGAGAGAUUUUCUCUGAGUGUAAAUGAACAGGAGCAUGUCCUCACUGUGACUAUUGCUAAUGUGAGUAGACAUGAUGAUGGGGUGUAUUUCUGUGGAAUAUACAGCAACCUUAUCUACAUUCCCCUUUUCACAGAGAUUCAUCUUCAUGUUUCAGGUGAGAACACAAGGUGCUUCACGAUGCCACAGAAGAACCUUUUUGUCUAAAUGGUUCCAUAAAGAAUCUUUACAUCUGAAGAACCUUUCUGUUUCACAAAAGCUUCUUUGUGGUGAAAGAAUGUUCUUCGGAUUAUAAAAAGGGAAGAAAGAGAUGGUUCUUUGACUGAAUGGUUCUUUAUGGAGCCAAAAAUGGUUCUUCUAUGGCAUCGCUGUGAAGAACCCUCUGAAGUACCUUUAUUUUAAAGAGUGUACAUGUAAUGUAUGCUAAUGUCAUUUUGAUUCUUGACCUUUCAUCUGUGGACAACAAUGGAAAACCAAGAACAGAUGCUUCAGUCCAGUCUGGUGAGUUCUUUAACAUAAAUUAAAUUUGAUUAUUAUGAGAAUGAAAUUGGAUUAAUGACAAUUUAGGACAUCACAAUUAAAGUUAUUUGCUGGUAAAGUAAUACUCACAGAGCUUGCCUUGGCAGAAGUGAUGGGAAAAAUUAUGUUUUUUGAAAAUUUUAAUUAAUCAAAAUAAUUGUGUCAUAAAAUGCUUCACUGUUUUAAAGCAUUUAGCUGGGCAAAACAGUGUAAAUGCAGCAAAAAACCCAGUCCAAAAAUGCAUUAACCAAUUCAAAAUGAUUUACUGAAAGUGUUCAUGUAAUACCAUUUAAUAUGAAGUGUCUGUAUAGAACAAUUUAGAGUAGAAGUCACAGUUACGUCACUUGCAGCUGUGCGCGCAUUGUGGUGGCAGAAAAUCACCGGGAGCAAAAUGUUCUGUUGUGCUUUUGAAGUGAAGUGACAUACAACCAAGUAUGGUGACCCAUACUCAGAAUUCGUGCUCUGCAUUUAACCCAUUCAAAGUGCACACACAGCAGUGAACACACACCCGGAGCAGUAGGCAGCCAAAUAGACUACUACUUAAACCUAUAACAUUUUACAUAACAUUUACCUAUUUUAUCUCACAAUUCUGACUUUUUUUUUCUCGCAAAUGCAAGCUUAUAUCUCCUAGUUCUGACUUUGUAACUCGAUUUAACUCAACAAUUGUGAGUUUGUCAAUUCUGAGGGGAAAAAAAGCCGGAAGUGUGGGAUUUAAAAAGAGAAUGACAAGUUAAUUUUAUUUAUUUAUUUAUUUUCAGAAUUUUGAGAUAUAAUCUCAGAAUUGCGAGAAAAAAAGUCAGAAUUUUGAAAUAUAAACUCAAAAUUACCUUUUUUUAUUCUUGUAUUCCAUGGAUUCCAUAGACUGCUGUAAUUUUCUACCAGACAGGCUCCGCCAACAAAAGACAUUUUGAAUUUUUGAAAAUUGGUCCAUAAUAUGUGUUAUUUUAAUUUGCAGGGCUUAUUUGCUUAUGGAGAACAUUGCUGAAAAGGCCAAUAACUACUAUACUUCCAUUUCGUUAAAAUGUAUAUAACUGAUCCGAGAUCUGGUUUAAGAAAAAACAUGGGUUCAUUUCAUUAUUUUCAAAUCUGUCAUGACAAAGAAGCCUCACUGAAAUCAUGUGACUUUGGACAAAGGUUUGGAAGCUUCACAAUGCCUUUUUCUUCUUCUUCUCAAAAGAACCUCUUCACUACUGCAUAUAAACACAAUUGGUGCCAUUUUGCAGCUCAGUGAUUGGCUGUAGUGAAAAUGACUGCAGAGUCCUUCAAGGGAUAGUUCACCCAAAAAUGAAAAUUACCCCAUGAUUUACUCACCCACUCACUCACUCACUCAAGCCUUCCUAGGUGUAUAUGACUUUCUUCUUUCAGACGAAUACAAUCAUAUAUAUAUAUAUAUAUCCUGGCUCUUCCAAGCUUUAUAAUGGCAGUGAGUGGGUGUCUCUUGUCAAUAGCCCAAAAGAAGUCCAGUAAAGCGCAUCCAUCCAUAAUAAAAAAGUGCUCCACACGGCUCCGGGGGAUGAA
ensembl:lncRNA